rnacentral:lncRNA from 1 species
AACCAGAUGCUCCGCAGGGCGCAGCUUUAUACGACCGCAGAGGUUGAACCCUGAAUGGUUGGGGCAAGUAUGGACACAACAUUCAAGCUGGAUUCAGCUCUAAAUUUGGAUUGUGAUGAAAUAGUUGACACAGCAUAGGUUUCUGACACAGAAUGAAUGUGGUCUAAUGAACUUAAAAUAUUGUUUUUGCCUUUGAGCAAUUCACUAUGCUGUUGAAUAUUAAUCCUCUCAAAAAAUGUUUGAAGAAAUUUUCUUUUUAUUUAUGAAAUCUGAAAUGAGAAAAAUUUAACCCCCCCAUUUUUUUUUCACAUCCCCCUUUCCCUUUUUCUAAAACUGAUUUCAAUUCAAAUUUCUAAUGGAGUUUGCAACAAUAACUACUCAUCUAAAUACAUCAUAAAAUAUUAAAAUGUAAAAUAAAGUGCUUGUUAUCACUGAAUGGUAAAGAUUGUUUUAAUUUAUCAGUUGGUAGUAAAAGUGAAUAUACAUUGUAUAUUGUAUAAAACAAUAAUUUAAGUUGAUUCAACUACUAUUCUGGACAAAGAAAGAUAACUCCAAUUGAAAAUUUCUUGCUAUUGCACAAUAUU